rnacentral:lncRNA from 1 species
ACCUUUUUCUGCCUUCUCCAAACAGCAGUCAGCUACACACAACCUUCUUCAAAUAGUAGCCAUUGUCCAACACCACAGGUAUUUGUCUCCUCUACUCUCUUCUUUCUUCUUCUUCCUUCUCCUCCCUUCCUCUACACUCCGUACAUUCUCCUUUUUCUUCUCCGCCCUUUUUCUCCCUAUCUACUCCCUUCCUUCCCUCUCAUUAUUCUCCUCUUCACAUCAUUGUCUCCACUCUCCCGUCAAUCUCUAAACAGAAUGGAUGUUUUUGUGAAUUUUGUGAUAACUUAUAAAUUUCAAUGUUUAUUUAUGGUUUAUUAUUCAUUGAUUUAUGAUUUAUAAUUCAUUUAUUUAUGAGAAUUUUUAUUUAUUUAUUAAGAACAACACCAAAUGAGUCAUGGGUGUUAUUGUUAAAUUGUUUUUAUUCAUAAUUUAUUUUGGUGGUAUUGAUGUUGAAAUUAGCCGAAGAGAUAUGAAUAAUAAAUAUAACAUGUGAAUAUUUAAUGUGAUAGCGGUACUAGUUUAGUAAUAUGCCUAAUACCUUGUUAGUUAUUUAAAUUGAUUAGAUGAUAUAAUACUAUAAUUGAUUUUUUUACUUUGUUAAUUUUAUUUUGUUUAGUUAGAUUAAAUAGGUGAUAAGGAUAUUAGUAUAAGUGGUUCUACGGCUGCUUUUGCCCUGCAUAGUUACAGUUGAUACAACUCAAUGAGAGCAAUACAAAUGAUCUUCAAUGCAUUUAUUGCAUGAGAGUUAUUAAAUAAAGAGUUAAUAGAAUCAAACAACAUCUUGCUGGGGUUACAAAAUAUGGUUCGCUGUCCUAAAUGUCCAGAGGAUGCCAGAAAUCAUAUUCAAGAAUUCAUGAAUAAAAAAGGAGAGCAAAAGGCUAUUAUGCACAUGGAGUAUGUUAAUGAUUUUGAGGAUGUUGAAAUGCUAGGAGAGAGUGAAAAUGAGGAAAAGGAAAAUGCAAUGUUUUCUACUCCCAAAAGAACGGAAGCACAACAAGAACAAGAUGGUAAUGCUAUUGCUUCAAAAAAAUCUAAAGUUCCACAAAGCAGUAAUAAUCGAGAACCAUUCAAUUUUUAUUUUUCUUCUAAGUCACCUGUGUUAGGAAAAAUUUUAAAGCAAAUAAUUAUUGAUGAAAACAACCCAGCUAAGAAAGAACUGAGAGAGUGUGUUGCCUUAGUAUGUUAGAUGUAUGAUGCAUGCAUAUCUUUCAAUACUGUAAACUAUGAUAACUUUUAGAGAAAUGAUCCGAGCCAUUGGUAAUUAUAGGAGGGACAUGAAACCUCCAAAUUAUCAUGAAGUUCGAGUUUGGUUGUUCAACGAGGAAGUGGAGAAUACAAAUGAGCUUUUAGAAUCUCACAAGGAAGAAUGGGCAAAUUAUGGAUGUUCCUUGAUGUGUGAUGGAUAGAUGGUUAGAAGAGAAAGAAUUCUAAUUAAUUUUUUGGCUAACUGUCCACAUGGAAGUGUAUUUAUAAAGUCAAUAGAUGUUUCUAGUGAAUUAAAAAUAGAUGCAUUGCUAGGCAGUAUGAUUGAGAAAGAAUUGCUUAAAAUUGGUGCACAUAAAUUAGUUCAGGUGGUUACAGACAAUGUAUCGGCUAAUAUUGCAGCCAGUAAGUUUUUUUUAAAAUUUUUUGUCAAUAAUAUACCAUAAUAUAAAUAAUAAAUAUUAAAUUAUUAAUUAAAUAAAUCUUUUUUUUAUAGGUAUGAUUUUGGAAAAAAAUAUUCCCAUCUAUAUUGGACUCCAGCAUAUUGUAUCAAUAUGAUGUUGGAAAAUACUUUUAAGAUUCGAGUUUUCAAAAACAUAUUUUGCAAAGCUGUUGAGUUUCACAGCUUCAUGUAUGGACUUUUAUGAGCCUUAAAUAUAAUAAGAAAGUUUAUGGAGUAGAGUUGCUGAGACCGAAGCAAACGAGAUUUGCUACUAGUUUUUUUACAUUGGGAAUGAUUCAUCUUCAGAAGACAAACAUUAGAAAAAUGUUUAUUUCAUAAGAGUGGACUACUAAUAAAUAGUUUAAAGAUGCAAAAGCUGAAAAAACCAUUCUAAGUUCUUCUUUUUGGAAUUAUGUGGUGUAUGCUCUCAAAGUUUCUGGUCCUUUAGUUUGUGUGCUUCGUCUUGUAGAUAAUGAAAAAAAAAAAACAGCAAUGAGAUCGAUAUAUUUAUAAAUCAAUGGAUAGGGCUAAGGAAGUCAUUGCCAAAUCAUUCAAUGGCAAUGAGGAGAAAUAUAAGAAUAUUUUUAAGAUUAUUGAUAAGAGAUGGUUUAUUCAAAUGCAUCUCCCUUUGUAUGUUGUCGGGUACUUAAAUCUAGAAUAUUUUUAUUCUAACAAAUUGAGAAUUGAAGGAGAUGAAGAGACGAAUAUGGAUUUAAUGUCUUGCAUUCAAAAAAUAGAACAAGAUCCUAAAGAAGUUAGACAUUAGUCUAGAUGAGAUUGAGAAGUACAAUAGCAAGAUCUUCUAGUUAGUUUGAAUUUUUAUUAAUUUUUUAUCUCAUUUAUUUUAAAAAAUUAUUGGCUAUAAUUUUAUAAUAUUGAUUCCAAAUUUUAAUAGCUGGUUGGAGAACAUUUGGAUCAAUUUGUCCAAAUCUUCAAAAAUUUGUUGUGGAAGUGUUAAGUCUCACAUGCAGUGCAAGUGUUUAUGAGAAAAAUUGGAGCGUAUUUAAACAUGUAAGUAAUAAUAUUAAAUUUAAACAAAUUAUUAUUAUCACAUAUCUAAAAUUUUAAUAUAGUUGUUAUUUUCAAUUCAAUGACAGCUUCAUAGUAAGAAAAAAAAUCAGUUUAUUCAAGAACAACUUAAUAGUUUGAUGUAUAUUAAAUACAAUAAGGCACUGCUACGCCAAUAUAUCUUUGGAGAUAGAACCACACUUGUAGAUAUGAGAAAUAUUGAUAAAAGUAAUGAGUAGUUGAUUGAUGAAUUAGAAAAUGACAAUAAAGAUGAUGAUGAUGAUCUUAUUUUUACAGAUAGUGCGUUGACUUGGGAAAAUGUUGCUAGGGCUACUGGAGUUUUUGAACCCCGUUAUGAUCAAGAUCACUUGCAAAAUUAACUUCAUUUGAGUCUAGUUCAAAUAAAGGUGCAAGAUCAACUCUAGUUGUACCACCACAACGACAAGUAGUUGCUGAUGAAAAGGACGAAGAAUAUGUUUUGACUACUCUCAAGAAUGAAGAUGGUAAAUUAGAUAAUCUUAAUCUCAAUAAUGUUGAUUAUGAGUAUAAGUAGU